ACGUAAAGGGCACGCGCUGCACUCAGCGGCCGCGUUGAGAGUCGGCGUCGUCGGCGCCAACGCAGUACGUACAGCCUGGCCAGCCGUGCUCCAAACAUGGUCGACCGGCCGCGCCAAACCACCUGACUCGGGGCUUCUCGGGAGCAGGCUCGGUGAAAGCAGCUGAUCGUCACCGUGCUCCGGGCCGGCUUCAGCUUUCGGACCCCGAGUUGCCGCUGCUCUCUCUCGGCGUUCUCUGCGUGCGGAAGAAGCUCGUCUCCUCGUUCGGCGGACAAGCGUGGGCAAGGACCGUUUUGGGGCAGAAAAAAAAGAUUUGUUCGUCGCGGCGUGCUGCUGGCCGCCUCUCUCUCGAAGGAGCAUUCUUCGGCCGCUCCAAGUGCGCGUGUUUUUGUGUGUUGUGUGUUGGGUGCCGUGUCUUUACGCCAAAACACAAACGCGAUGACCCCCCGCGACGUCAGUUGAACGCGGAGAUGCCCUGUCGUGUUCGCUGUUAAGAAAGCUCGCGGUAUCGCUGUGAUCCGAGCAGAACGACCAACGUUGCAUGCGUUAGUUGUUUCCCUCUCUGGCGAUUCGCCAAGUGCCGAUUGUGCGCUAUCCUGACGUGCAGUGCGCGUGUUGUGCCUUCCGCGACUGCGGCAGCUGCCAACGCCUGUGUGUCGUCUGCACGACUUUUGCCGCUUCCUAAAUCUUCGACAGCUGACAACUUCAAGAAGUUUCGAAGACAGUUUGCACCCGGCUUCGAGGGAUCGCCGGAACGGUCAGCUGCACGACUUCCGCGAGCAACAGACACGGCAGAUCCAUUCAGUGGUCGUCCAAGCAGGAGUGGCCGUACAAGGCGCACAUUAACGAGCCGGACCUUUGCAGAUCGGGGUGGCGUGCUGCUGCUCCUGCUACUGU